GGAAGGUUGGCAGAGUCUGGCUAAAUGCACCAGUUUUGAAAACUGGAGGACCUUUAUUGUGUUCCGUGGGUUCGAAUCCCACACCUUCCUCCA
rnacentral:tRNA from 1 species